GGGCGGUUAGCUCAGUUGGUUAGAGCGCUGGUCUCACAUACCAGAGGUCGUAGGUUCGAAUCCUAUACUGCCCACCA
rnacentral:tRNA from 1 species